rnacentral:rRNA from 1 species
GCGCGAAAACUUUACAAUGCGGGAAACCGUGAUAAGGGGACACCGAGUGUCAGCGUCAUACGCUGGCUGUCCGGGUGUGUAAAAUACACCUGUUAGCAAGGGCCGGGCAAGACCGGUGCCAGCCGCCGCGGUAACACCGGCGGCCCGAGUGGUGAUCGUGAUUAUUGGGUCUAAAGGGUCCGUAGCCGGUUUGGUCAGUCCUCCGGGAAAUCUGAUAGCUCAACUAUUAGGCUAUCGGGGGAUACUGCCAGACUUGGAACCGGGAGAGGUAAGAGGUACUACAGGGGUAGGAGUGAAAUCUUGUAAUCCCUGUGGGACCACCUGUGGCGAAGGCGUCUUACCAGAACGGGUUCGACGGUGAGGGACGAAAGCUGGGGGCACGAACCGG